UUCGCCCUUAGAGUUUGAUCCUGGCUCAGGACGAACGCUGGCGGCGCGCCUAACACAUGCAAGUCGAACGGAGCUUAGAGAGCUUGCUUUUUAAGCUUAGUGGCGAACGGGUGAGUAACGCGUGAGUAACCUGCCCUAGAGUGGGGGACAACAGUUGGAAACGACUGCUAAUACCGCAUAAGCCCACGGUGCCGCAUGACACUGAGGGAAAAGGAUUUAUUCGCUUUAGGAUGGACUCGCGUCCAAUUAGCUAGUUGGUGAGGUAACGGCCCACCAAGGCGACGAUCGGUAGCCGGACUGAGAGGUUGAACGGCCACAUUGGGACUGAGACACGGCCCAGACUCCUACGGGAGGCAGCAGUGGGGAAUAUUGCACAAUGGGGGAAACCCUGAUGCAGCGACGCCGCGUGGAGGAAGAAGGUCUUCGGAUUGUAAACUCCUGUUGUUGAGGAAGAUAAUGACGGUACUCAACAAGGAAGUGACGGCUAACUACGUGCCAGCAGCCGCGGUAAAACGUAGGUCACAAGCGUUGUCCGGAAUUACUGGGUGUAAAGGGAGCGCAGGCGGGAAGACAAGUUGGAAGUGAAAUCUAUGGGCUCAACCCAUAAACUGCUUUCAAAACUGUUUUUCUUGAGUAGUGCAGAGGUAGGCGGAAUUCCCGGUGUAGCGGUGGAAUGCGUAGAUAUCGGGAGGAACACCAAUGGCGAAGGCGGCCUACUGGGCACCAACUGACGCUGAGGCUCGAAAGUGUGGGUAGCAAACAGGAUUAGAUACCCUGGUAGUCCACACCGUAAACGAUGAUUACUAGGUGUUGGAGGAUUGACCCCUUCAGUGCCGCAGUUAACACAAUAAGUAAUCCACCUGGGGAGUACGACCGCAAGGUUGAAACUCAAAGGAAUUGACGGGGGCCCGCACAAGCAGUGGAGUAUGUGGUUUAAUUCGACGCAACGCGAAGAACCUUACCAAGUCUUGACAUCCUGCGACGAUGCUGGAAACAGUAUUUUCCUUCGGGACGCAGAGACAGGUGGUGCAUGGUUGUCGUCAGCUCGUGUCGUGAGAUGUUGGGUUAAGUCCCGCAACGAGCGCAACCCUUACUGUCAGUUACUACGCAAGAGGACUCUGGCAGGACUGCCGUUGACAAAACGGAGGAAGGUGGGGAUGACGUCAAAUCAUCAUGCCCUUUAUGACUUGGGCUACACACGUACUACAAUGGCGUUAAACAAAGAGAAGCAAGACCGCGAGGUGGAGCAAAACUCAGAAACAACGUCCCAGUUCGGACUGCAGGCUGCAACUCGCCUGCACGAAGUCGGAAUUGCUAGUAAUCGUGGAUCAGCAUGCCACGGUGAAUACGUUCCCGGGCCUUGCACACACCGCCCGUCA
rnacentral:rRNA from 1 species